GGAUGUGAGAGCAAUCUGGCUGUGGCAUCUGUCACCCCACUGAUUGCCAGGGUUGAUCUGGCUGAUCUGGCUGGCUAGGCAGGUGUCCCCUUCCUCCCUCACUGCUCCAUGUGUGUCCCUCCUGAAGCUGCGCGCUUGGUAGAAGAGGAUGGCCUUCCCCGAAUAGAGACGGAACGGUCUUUGGGUCGCGGGUAUGUGAGUAGCUGAACUCCCCUGCUAGAACCUCCAAACAAGCUCUCAAGAUAUAAAGCAGAACAAGUUGUUUCAUAAUCUGGAACUUAAAGGUAAGAGCAUGGCCUACAAAAGACACCACAAGGUACUUAAAUAUUUUCU
ensembl:misc_RNA 7SK 7SK RNA